rnacentral:tRNA from 1 species
GGCGCAGUGGCGAAGUAGCUAACGCAGCGGUCUGCAAAACCGCGAUUCAUGGGUGCAAAUCCCAUCUGCGCCUCCA